CCAAUGCUCUGAAUGUCAACGUGAAGAGAUUUAUCCAAUGCGCGGGUAAACGGCGGGAGUAACUACGACUCUCUUGUGAGCGGGCUCUGCGAACGCUUGGAUCACAGAG
rnacentral:ncRNA from 1 species